UGGGGAAUUUUGGACAAUGGGGGGCAACCCUGAUCCAGCAAUGCCGCGUGAGUGAAGAAGGCCUUCGGGUUGUAAAGCUCUUUUGUCAGGGAAGAAAGGACCGGGCCAAUACCCUGGUUUCAUGACGGUACCUGAAGAAUAAGCACCGGCUAACUACGUGCCAGCAGCCGCGGUAAUACGUAGGGUGCGAGCGUUAAUCGGAAUUACUGGGCGUAAAGCGUGCGCAGGCGGUUGUGUAAGACAGAUGUGAAAUGCCCGGGCUUAACCUGGGAAUUGCAUUUGUGACUGCACGGCUAGAGUGUGUCAGAGGGGGGUAGAAUUCCACGUGUAGCAGCGAAAUGCGUAGAUAUGUGGAGGAAUACCGAUGGCGAAGGCAGCCCCCUGGGAUAACACUGACGCUCAUGCACGAAAGCGUGGGGAGCAAACAGGAUUAGAUACCCUGGUAGU
rnacentral:rRNA from 1 species